UUAAAAGGAAUUAGACGGGGGCCCGCGACAAGCGGUGGAGCAUGUGGUUAAUUCGAUGAUACGCGAAAACCUUACCGGGCUUGACAUGCAUCAGACAGGCGUAGAGAUACGCCCUCCGCGAGGCUGGUGCACAGGUGCUGCAUGGUUGUCGUCAGCUCGUGUCGUGAGAUGUUGGGUUAAGUCCCGCAACGAGCGCAACCCCUACCGUGUGUUACCAUCAUUAAGUUGGGGACUCGCACGGAACUGCCGGUGAUAAACCGGAGGAAGUGGGGAUGACGUCAAAUCCUCAUGGCCUUUAUGUCCGGGGCUACACACGUGCUACAAUGGUCGGUACAGAAGGAAGCGAAGUCGUGAGAUGGAGCAGAUCCGAGAAAGCCGAUCUCAGUUCGGAUUGGAGUCUGCAACUCGCCUACAUGAAGUCGGAAUCGCUAGUAAUCGCGGAUCAGCACGCCGCGGUGAAUACGUUCCCGGGCCUU
rnacentral:rRNA from 1 species